rnacentral:rRNA from 1 species
CUACGGGUCGCUGCAGUCGAGAAUCUUCCGCAAUGGACGAAAGUCUGACGGAGCGACGCCGCGUGCGGGAUGAAGGCCUUCGGGUUGUAAACCGCUGUCAGUGGGGAGGAAAUGCAUCAGGGUUCUCCCUGGUGUUUGACCGAUCCGCAGAGGAAGCGCAGGCUAAGUUCGUGCCAGCAGCCGCGGUAACACGAACUGCGCGAACGUUAUUCGGAAUCACUGGGCUUAAAGAGUUCGUAGGCGGCCUUUCAAGUCGGGUGUGAAAUCCCUCGGCUCAAUCGAGGAAUUGCGCCUGAUACUGUUGGGCUUGAGGGGGAUAGGGGUGAGCGGAACUGAUGGUGGAGCGGUGAAAUGCGUUGAUAUCAUCAGGAACACCGGUGGCGAAGGCGGCUCACUGGAUCUCUUCUGACGCUGAGGAACGAAAGCUAGGGGAGCGAACGGGAUUAGAUACCCUAGUAGUC